rnacentral:rRNA from 1 species
GACGAACGCUGGCGGCGUGCUUAACACAUGCAAGUCGAACGGCAGCGCGGGCUUUGGCCUGGCGGCGAGUGGCGAACGGGUGAGUAAUACAUCGGAACGUGCCCAGUAGUGGGGGAUAGCUCGGCGAAAGCCGGAUUAAUACCGCAUACGACCUGAGGGUGAAAGCGGGGGAUCUUCGGACCUCGCGCUAUUGGAGCGGCCGAUGGCAGAUUAGCUAGUUGGUGGGGUAAAGGCCUACCAAGGCGACGAUCUGUAGCUGGUCUGAGAGGACGACCAGCCACACUGGGACUGAGACACGGCCCAGACUCCUACGGGAGGCAGCAGUGGGGAAUUUUGGACAAUGGGCGAAAGCCUGAUCCAGCAAUGCCGCGUGUGUGAUGAAGGCCUUCGGGUUGUAAAGCACUUUUGGCGGGAACGAAAAGGACUGUGCCAAUACCACGGUUCGAUGACGGUACCCGCAGAAUAAGCACCGGCUAACUACGUG